GUAGGUGAACCUGCGGAAGGAUCAUUAAGAACGUACGCGUUUGAAAAGAUGUACCGAAUCAUCCUGGAAGGCAAGCGUGGCUGGUAGAAGGGAAGUCUUCCCGAAAAGAGCAAGGUGGCGAGCCGAGCUGGUAGAAGACAACCCCUCCCGAAAUAGGCCACGUUUUGACUGUAGGGGCAGUACUGCUACCUAUAAUAAAACCAACCGUUUGUGAAGGGAGAAUACACCUAACCCUUGUGUACUUGCUUUGUUGCUUUGGGGGCCACUUGUUAAAGGUGUUGGCUCCGGCUGAUAGCGCCCCCAAAGACCCUAAACUCUUUUGUUAGUGAUGUCUGAGUACUAUAUAAUAGUUAAAACUUUCAACAACGGAUCUCUUGGUUCUG
rnacentral:misc_RNA from 1 species